AUUUAUACAACCUCUGACCGUCUGCGUUUCCAAAGCAUGUACUUUAUCCAGAAUGUUUUUUGGAUCUGAACAUGGGGUGUGCUAAGCAAAAUAAUACUUUCACAGAAAACUAAAAUCAAUGUCAUGUGUUUGCCUACUAUGACUUUAGUAAUGCAGUACACACAGCCUAUAUCAAAAUGUUCUGCCAUGAAGAGUAGAUCCCACUCCUUCCCCUACAAAAAUAGAUGGUGAAGCUAUUUGUGCUAUGAACCAAAGACAAGUUGCGUUAAACUAAAGAAAAAAACUUAAUGUCCACUUAUUAUUAUUAUUAUUGUUGUUGUAGUGUGUAACCAAUCAAUGAAAUGAUACAGCUUUGUGAGUCCAUGACAGGAUAUUAUGAAGUCACAAUGAGCAGGUUCUGGAUUGUUCCAGAAGAAACACUGAUGAUGUCCUGCAUCUGCCUUCCCUCUGUCUCCAGUAUGUAGUAUGUAUGACAUAAUCUCGGAGCCCAGAACCAAAUCCAGCAUGCGCUAGUCUGAGAUUAGACAUGACACGCCAUUUCUCCUCUCUUUGCCAGGAAGUGCAAUGUGCCAACAGUUCCUCUGUAGAGCUGUCUGCUAGUGUAGGGAGUAGACUGAUAUUAGGAACACACCCCACAUGCCUUCAUUACACCUAUGCAAGUCCUGAACCACAACCGUGCCUUGACAAUCAAUCCCAGCUUCUCGCUUAGCAACACUUGCUCACACGAAUCGCGGAGAUCAGUUUUUAAGUCAUAAGGCUCUUCUGUAACUUUAUUGUUGGUCAGCAGUAUAUUUGGUAUUUAAUCAUUGACAUCAGACUUUAAAAAUCAUUAUUCAAACAGUCUGUUUAUUAACCAGUAAUCAUUGAAGGGGAUUACCUCUAUAAUGAUGUCAUCUACCAUCCCUAUCCUACCAUCCUUAUAACAGACAUAUUUGAAUCUGUGACAGUUAGUUUCCUGUCAUAUGACAUGUAGCACGGGCAACGUCAUUGGAUGUUUCAGGUCUGCUCUGUUGCUUGGGGCAGGAUGAGUUUCUACAUGCCCUCACCUGUCUGUGUGCGCAGAGCUGAGAAAAUCCUAGAUGUAAUCCACACACAGACAAAAUGGAGUUUGGUUGUGUUUAGGCCAGCUCUCAAACUGGGAUUUAGACUUUUCUUUCUGUAUGCUGAAACAUGAUAUUAUUAUUCACUCGGCUGUCUUUGUUAGUUUUGGGGAUUGUCAUGUUUGUUCUGUCUCAAUUUAUUAUUUCAAACUGGAACUUGUAACAUUUUUGUGUCUUUUUUUAUUUGACCAUUUUAGCUAAUUGGAAGUUUUAAAGUAAUAUUUUUGGAAUGGAGCAUUUUUAGAACAAUGAGAUCCGUUGUAUUUGUUGAAAAGGUAUUCUUUGUGUGCGGUUGAUGUCAGUCAGUAUUAUAAGCAGUGUACAUUUAUGUGACAGUAUUACAAACCUGUGAGAUCACAUUCACUUUUUAAAAAUAUUGUGCCCUUUUUUUACCCAGUGAUAGUCUCAUUUCAUCUUACAGCAGCUGAAGAAAGUUGAUGCCUAAUGAUUUUUACAUUGCUCAGUUAAUUGGCCAAGAGCUAAACAAUUUUCACAAGGUUUGAAACACACAACUACACAAGUCAUGUUCAUAUAAAGACAGCUUUAUUAUACCUUACUAUGUGGGGAUCCAGACAAGGCUGUCUGGCCUCUUUUUUUUUUUUUUUUUUAAUUUUUUCCCCUCAAUGAUCUAUUGUCUUAGAGUUCUAACUAAUAAAUCUCCAAACCAUACCUACUCAAUAUAAAUGGAAAGUAGAGUUUGUCUUCCAAAUGUCUUUCACACAGUACUUUUGCAUUUCUUCCCCACUCAGUAAACCUUAUUGAGAAGGCCGUGUUAGUUUCAUUAACCUCUUAAUUUCAUGUAUGGUAAUAGUACAUUAUGCAUGUACAUUUGUAAUCCUACCCUCAUUUGUGUCAUCUAAUAUCUCUGGAGUAAUAAACAAAAUGCUACUUCAUGAUGUAUUUGGAAUUCUACACCACUAUGUACCUCAGUUAAGUAAUUGUUUUGGGUCAACAUUCUAGCUGAGCUUUUCCAUUGCUGCUCUAGGGAGCUAUGUAGGCUCUAGAACCUUUUUAGAAUGUUCUAGAAACAGCUCUGCUGUGGUAUAGUGGAGAGAUCUGACAGUUCCACUUCUCUUCACUGCUGGUCUCAUCAGCUGGACACGUCGGCCUAGAACCACAGAGCAAGGCAUCUUGAUCUAGAACCACAGAUCAGGCCAAGGCAGCAAGACGUGAUUGUUGGAAAGAAAUGUAUAAUAAUGAAUACACUUAUGAAAUUGAUAUUGUUGUGUGAUUUCAAAGUAACAGUGCAUACUGUAACAUUUUAUUUCUAACCAUGUUACUAGCUUCUCUAUUUUUACUCUUAUAAUUUAUACUUAUUAAUAUUGGGUAUCCGCGCAAACAAAGACUUGUUCACAAAUUGAAAUAUUUUUCUGGUAGAUCAUUGAUGUUCUAUGCUGUAUAAAGCCAGUGUGUGUCCAGGUACACCGCCAUAAAACCAGAACAACAACCUGAAAACCUUAGCAUUUUGUUUAACUCUCUCCUUUGGUGGCUUAGCUUCUACACACACCCUUACUGUAUGUCUACAACUAAGUAUCCAUAGUCCUUUCUGUGAAAGGAUUGGCCUUCAGGAAAAAAAUGAAUGAUUUAGUUGUUUUGCCAAACCCUGUUGAAUUGAAACAAUAUUCAAUAAAAACCAUACAUUUUAUUUGUCUAA
rnacentral:lncRNA from 1 species